rnacentral:rRNA from 1 species
GACGAACGCUGGCGGCGUGCCUAAUACAUGCAAGUCGAGCGAGCUUGCCUAGAUGAAUUUGGUGCUUGCACCAAAUGAAACUAGAUACAAGCGAGCGGCGGACGGGUGAGUAACACGUGGGUAACCUGCCCAAGAGACUAGGAUAACACCUGGAAACAGAUGCUAAUACCGGAUAACAACACUAGACGCAUGUCUAGAGUUUAAAAGAUGGUUCUGCUAUCACUCUUGGAUGGACCUGCGGUGCAUUACCUAGUUGGUAAGGUAACGGCUUACCAAGGCAAUGAUGCAUAGCCGAGUUGAGAGACUGAUCGGCCACAUUGGGACUGAGACACGGCCCAUACUCCUACGGGAGGCAGCACUAGGGAAUCUUCCACAAUGGACGCACGUCUGAUGGAGCAACGCCUCGUGAGUGAAGAAGGGUUUCGGCUCGUGAAGCUCUGUUGGUAGUGAAGAAAGAUAGAGGUAGUAACUGGCCUUUAUUUGACGGUAAUUACUUAGAAAGUCACGGCUAACUACGUGCCAGCAGCCGCGGUAAUACAUAUGUGGCAAGCGUUGUCCGGAUUUAUUGGGCGUAAAGGCAGUGCUGGCGGUUCAAUAAGUCUGAUGUGAAUGCUUUCCGGCCUAACGUAGAAUUGCAUCAGAUUCUGUUGAACUUGAAUGCAGAAUAGGAGAGUGUAACUCCCUGUGUCGCGGUGCAAUGCGUAGAUAUAUGGAAGAACAUCAGUGGCUAAAGCUGCUCUUUUGACUGCCGCUGACGCUGAUGCUCCAAAGCCUGGGUCGCGAUCUGGAGUAGAUUUCCUAGUAGUCAUGGGCGAAAUCCACACUGUAUAUCAUCCUUAUCGGUACCGUCGACCUCUAUGUGUGUACCCGUACAAGCUUUUUUAUCCCUUUAGUGAGGUUAAUUAAA